rnacentral:misc_RNA from 1 species
GAUGAAGAACGCAGCGAAAUGCGAUACUUGGUGUGAAUUGCAGAAUCCCGUGAACCAUCGAGUCUUUGAACGCAAGUUGCGCCCGAAGCCACUAGGCCGAGGGCACGCCUGCCUGGGCGUCACACGCCGUUGCCCCCCCAUCUACUCCUUCGGGAUUGCGGGGGGGCGGAUGAUGGCCUCCCGUGCGCCUAGCCGCGCGGUUGGCAUAAAUACCAAGUCCUCGGCGACGCACGCCACGACAAUCGGUGGUUGCGAAACCUCGGUUGCCCGUCGUGUGCGUUCGUCGCGCAUCGAGGGCUCGAAAAAAUGCUCGGCUCCGGCUGGGCUUUCAACGCGACCCCACGUCAGGCGGGGUUACCCGCUGAAUUUAAGCAUAUCAAUAAGCGGAGGA